AUUAAAACAAACAAACAAAAAAGAAAUCUCCUCCUUCCCACAAACCUUCAUCUCUCUUCUGCCAUGUUAACAAAACAAAACCCCUUUCUCUCAAGUUCUCAAUUAAUCCUCUCUCACGAUAACCUCUUCUCUCUCAGCCUCAAAAUCCGUAAUGAACACUGUAAACUGUGGAACAAUCCAGGUAUGCUUCAAUAUUACUGCUUCCUCAUCUCAGUUUCAGUUAUGUUCUUCAAGACAGAUCUACUUAUGUUGUUACUGUUGCUGCUAAUUGCUAUUUACUCCCAGCGUUGGAAGAGGGAGUUAUGCGAGGUGUUUGGCGGUGAUAAAAAAAGCUAG